rnacentral:rRNA from 1 species
UACGGAGGGUGCGAGCGUUGUCCGGAAUCACUGGGCGUAAAGGGCGCGUAGGCGGCCAACUAAGUCGGAUGUGAAAUCCCCAGGCUUAACCUGGGAACUGCAUCCGAUACUGGAUGGCUUGAAUUCGGGAGAGGGAUGCAGAAUUCCAGGUGUAGCGGUGAAAUGCGUAGAUAUCUGGAGGAACACCGGUGGCGAAGGCGGGUCUCUGGGCCGAUACUGACGCUGAGGAGCGAAAGCAUGGGUAGCGAACAGG